CUCCGGGUUGAUCCUGCCGGACCUGACUGCUAUCGGAUUGGUACUAAGCCAUGCGAGUCAUUGUAGCAAUACAAGGCGGACGGCUCAGUAACACGUAGUCAACCUAACUCGUGGACGUGGAUAACCUCGGGAAACUGAGAAUAAACCACGAUAGAUCAUAGUGCCUGGAAUGGCUUAUGGUCCAAACAGUUUACUGCCAUGGGAUGGGACUGCGGCCUAUCAGCUUGUUGGUGAGGUAAUGGCCCACCAAGGCGAUUACAGGUACGGGCUCUGAGAGGAGAAGCCCGGAGAUGGGUACUGAGACACGGACCCAGGCCCUAUGGGGCGCAGCAGGCGAGAAACCUUAGCAAUGUGCGAAAGCACGACUGGGUCAGUCCGAGUGAUUCCUGAUAAAGGAGUCUUUUGCUUGUCCUAAAAGCACAGGUGAAUAAGGGGUGGGCAAGUCUGGUGUCAGCCGCCGCGGUAAUACCAGCACCUCGAGUGGUCAGGACGUUUAUUGGGCCUAAAGCAUCCGUAGCCGGCUCUGCAAGUCUUCGGUUAAAUCCACCUGCUCAACAGAUGGGCUGCUGGAGAUACUACAGAGCUAGGGAGUGGGAGAGGCAGACGGUAUUCAGUGGGUAGGGGUAAAAUCCUCUGAUCCAUUGAGGACCACCAGUGGCGAAGGCGGUCUGCCAGAACACGUUCGACGGUGAGGGAUGAAAGCUGGGGGAGCAAACCGGAUUAGAUACCCGGGUAGUCCCAGCUGUAAACGAUGCAAACUCGGUGAUGCAUUGGCUUAUGGCCAAUGCAGUGCCGCAGGGAAGCCGUUAAGUUUGCCGCCUGGGGAGUACGGUCGCAAGACUGAAACUUAAAGGAAUUGGCGGGGGAGCA
rnacentral:rRNA from 1 species